UACGUAGGGGGCAAGCGUUGUCCGGAUUUAUUGGGCGUAAAGAGCGUGUAGGCGGUUUUACAGGUCCGCUGUGAAAACUCGAGGCUCAACCUCGAGCUGUCGGUGGAAACCGUAAGGCUAGAGUCCGGAAGAGGAGAGUGGAAUUCCUGGUGUAGCGGUGAAAUGCGCAGAUAUCAGGAAGAACACCCGUGGCUAAGGCGGUUCUCUAGUACGGUACUGACGCUGAGACGCGAAAGCGUGGGGAGCGAACAGG
rnacentral:rRNA from 1 species